GGUGGUGGUUGGUUGGUGGUGUUGUGGUAGUGCUGCCAUUUAGUAGGUUAGUUAAGGUCGGUGGUGUUGUGGUUGGUGGUGAGGUGUUGGUGGUGUUGUGUUGGUGUUGAUGAUUUUAUUAGUUUUUUUUCUGUUUUAUAGAUAUGGUUUACGUCAUAGGAGGUUGGUGUCAUGUACUGUAAUGGGUGUCACAGAUGCUUGUGUCAUAGAAGGUGCUGUGGUAAUUGUUAUAGUUGCUGUAACGUUUAUUAUAUAAGGUGUAUAUAAUGUCAUAGGUGUUGUGGUCAAUAUUCUGGGUGUUGCAAUGGGUAUUACUGAAGGUGGUAUAACAGAUAUGCCAUAAAAUGAAUCGAGAAAGUUAAAAAGAAGAAAAAGAAAAUUUAUUGAUGUGAUGACGGUAUGAAGGCGAUUUGGCAAAGCAGAAAAUUCGUUAACAUACGCUGUUGAUAUUUGUAUAUUUGAGCUUGUAUAUUAUUUAGUCUCAGCUCUUAAAAGUCUCGAGGUCAGUAAGCUUUAAUAAAAAAAAAAAAAA